rnacentral:piRNA from 1 species
UUCUUCUUGCCUAAAUGUAUUGGUGUGUC